UCCCAAGCAAACUUUUGUGAAAAGGUGUACUAUCUUUGAAUUGAAUUUUGACUGUUGGAAAAAUAUUUUUCCGAGGACAGAUUUUCUUUGUAUUUUUAAAAUUUUAAAUCAGGGCCUUGUAUUUUUAAAAUUUUAAAUCAGGGCCUUGGGGGCGUGGUCCAGUUCAAAUGAAUUGCCUUUUCAAAGGAAUGGAUUGGAUGGUGACUUACCUUUGAAUCCCUGGGAACUAGUGGAUAUGAGCUAUAUACGGGGCAGAAUAACUGAUGGGUGCUGGAGUUGUUUUCUGCUAUGAAGCUUCUAAUGGCUAAGACCAUUCCCCAUGUAUACAAUUUCACACUUUCUCGGAGUGCUUCUCACUACAAUUAACUAUUCUGACUUAGCUAUUGAAGGCCCCACACUGUUGAACCUCUCUGGCACCCAUUACAGUGACUCACUGAUGUCUGCAGCUC
rnacentral:lncRNA from 1 species